AGCGCUUUCUGUUGAGGAGGGCUCGCACCAUGAAACCUGAUUUGGACAUUCAGAUUUCAACUGAGACAACCACAACUCCGUUCCCAACUCCUUGUUAAGACAAUAUUCAAGUUUAGAGUCGACAGAUUUGUGAGGAACAAGGUGUCUGCUGUAGAACAUGGACACAGGGGAAUUUCACCAAGUCGUCCACAGCACUUUAAGUUAAUCAUAUCAGAUACGCUAGCGGUUAAGAGCUUUGGGCCAUUAACCGAAAGGUUGCUGGUUUGAAUCCCUGAGCCAACUAGGUGAAACAUUGGUUGAUGUGCCCUUGAGCAAGGCAUGUAACCCUAAUUGCUCCUGUUAAUUGCUCUGGAUAAGAGCGUUUGCUAAAUUACUAAAAUGUAAACGUAUAAUGUCUUCU